ACGACCACAGGUAGUGGAAAAUACGGGAUCCCGUCCGCUCUCCCUUAGUCAAGCCACUAACCGGCGGAUUAGUAGUUGGGUCGGUGACGACCA
rnacentral:rRNA from 1 species